UACAGAGGUCUCAAGCGUUGUUCGGAUUCAUUGGGCGUAAAGGGUGCGUAGGCGGCGCGGUAAGUCGGAUGUGAAAUCUCGGAGCUUAACUUCGAAACUGCAUUCGAUACUGCCGUGCUUGAGGACUGGAGAGGAGACUGGAAUUUACGGUGUAGCGGUGAAAUGCGUAGAUAUCAGGAAGAACACCCGUGGCGAAAGCGGCUCUCUGGAACGGUACUGACGCUGAGACGCGAAAGCGUGGGGAGCGAACAGG
rnacentral:rRNA from 1 species